rnacentral:lncRNA from 1 species
CUGACAUAUAGCUAUAGACAUAGAUAUCAGCGUAUAUAUAUAAAAUGUGUGCAUGUCUUCAUCUAGGGUUUAUGUGUAGUAUGAAUGUGUGUGUAUGUGCCUAUAUCUACAUACAUAUAUACACCAUACAAACAUGUGUGUGUUUGCAUAAAUUUAAUUCUGACCACAAUCCCACAAGGUAUGUAUUGUUAUCUCCAUUAUAAAGAUGAAAAAACUGAGCCUGAAAAGAGUUAAGCAACUUGUAAUAUGCCUGAGAUUUGAACUCAAGUUCAUCUGACUCUAAAACCCACGUUCCUAAGCCUUGCAUCAUUCUGCCUUCCUGCCAAGAAGCGUGAACUUAGAUCCCCUUUGCAUUCCAUAGCCUUACUUUAUAAUCAUCAUAAUGAGUUAUUGAUGCUUUUCUGGUACAGUCCCUAUAGAGACAAUUCUUUCCACUAUGAAAAAAUGAAGGAAAUCAUUAUAUUGUUUCUUCUUUGCAUCCCUCCUCUGUUGGACCUUUGCUCACUCAGGACUUUUUCACUGAACUGCUAGAGCCUUAGAAGGACCAAGAUCCCCCGAAGAGCAGUUGUCUGUGGGCAAACCACAUUCUCUCACACAGAUUCCAUUUCUAAACCUUUUCCUAGUCCACUCACAAUAUUUUGUAACAGGUGCUUUGGCUGGACAGGACCACUGUUGUAAGAGAACUGAUCAAAUCUCCACGCAAAUAGAGCUGAAACAGAGCUGGAAGAAACCUCUCUUCCCCACUGCUCCUGGAGGCUCGGCAUGCCUGGAGACCUGAGAUGUGUUAGGAGCUGGCACCCUUCACAAGGUGGCUGAAUUCUCACGAAGGGCACCACGAGCAGGAUGAUGCUAAGGCUUCUUCAAGGGUCUCUGCAGGCCAGAGAGCAAGAAGAGAAGACCAUCAUCACAGAGACAUUUUUCUGCAUGAAUUCCUGCCAUGGUUGUUGUUAGGUUCAGGUGUAAGACAUCCGAAGGAACACCAACACCCAUGGACCCUAUUAAAAGUAUUCUUUCUUGAUGUCUGUGAGAGUUGUGUCUUAAAGAUCUAUCCUAUUCCCUUAAUUGAGGGAAGUUUUUCCUCUGCUCUGACAAAAAUGAAAGUAGGGGCUAGCAUUGGCUCAUGAAGUUGGUCCUGGAUGUGUCUGACUUAAGGACAUCCUUAUGACUUACUUUGAUAUUAUAGUCAUAUGCCAUCAAAG